rnacentral:tRNA from 1 species
GCCUCGGUGGUGUAGUGGUCAACAGUAGACGCUCGUCUGGUAAACAGGAGGGCGCUGGUUCAAUCCCAGCCGAGGUG